CCUACGGGAGGCAGCAGUAGGGAAUCUUCCACAAUGGGCGAAAGCCUGAUGGAGCAACGCCGCGUGGGUGAUGAAGGUCUUCGGAUCGUAAAACCCUGUUGUUAGAGAAGAAAGUGAGUGAGAGUAACUGUUCACGUUUCGACGGUAUCUAACCAGAAAGCCACGGCUAACUACGGGCCAGCAGCCGCGGUAAUACGUAGGUGGCAAGCGUUAUCCGGAUUGAUUGGGCGUAAAGGGAACGCAGUCGGUCUUUUAAGUCUGAUGUGAAGGCCUUCGGCUUAACCGGAGUAGUGCAUUGGAAACUGGGAGACUUGAGUGCAGAAGAGGAGAGUGGAAUUCCAUGUGUAGCGGUGAAAUGCGUAGAUAUAUGGAAGAACACCAGUGGCGAAGGCGGCUUUCUGGACUGUAACUGACGCUGAGGUUCGAAAGCGUGGGUAGCAAACAGGAUUAGAUACCCCUGUAGUC
rnacentral:rRNA from 1 species